UACGUAGGGUGCGAGCGUUGUCCGGAAUUAUUGGGCGUAAAGAGCUCGUAGGCGGUGUGUCGCGUCGGCCGUGAAAACCUGGGGCUUAACUCUGGGCGUGCGGUCGAUACGGGCAUCACUAGAGUUCGGCAGGGGAGACUGGAAUUCCUGGUGUAGCGGUGAAAUGCGCAGAUAUCAGGAGGAACACCGGUGGGCGAAGGCGGGGUCUCUGGGCCGAUACUGAC
rnacentral:rRNA from 1 species